rnacentral:rRNA from 1 species
CCUACGGGUGGCAGCAGUCGAGAAUCAUUCACAAUGGGGGAAACCCUGAUGGUGCGACGCCGCGUGGGGGAAUGAAGGUCUUCGGAUUGUAAACCCCUGUCAUGUGGGAGCAAAUUAAAAAGAUAGUACCACAAGAGGAAGAGACGGCUAACUCUGUGCCAGCAGCCGCGGUAAUACAGAGGGCUCAAGCGUGGUUCGGAAUCACUGGGCGUAAAGUGUGCGUAGGCUGUUUCGUAAGUCGUGUGUGAAAGGCGCGGGCUCAACCCGCGGACGGCACAUGAUACUGGGGGACUAGAGUAAUGGAGGGGGAACCGGAAUUCUCGGUGUAGCAGUGAAAUGCGUAGAUAUCGAGAGGAACACUCGUGGCGAAGGCGGGUUCCUGGACAUUAACUGACGCUGAGGCACGAAGGCCAGGGGAGCGAAAGGGAUUAGAUACCCGAGUAGUC